CCUACGGGUGGCAGCAGUGAGGAAUAUUGGUCAAUGGGCGCGAGCCUGAACCAGCCAAGUAGCGUGAAGGAUGACUGCCCUACGGGUUGUAAACUUCUUUUAUAAAGGAAUACAGUGAGGCACGUGUGCCUUUUUGUAUGUACUUUAUGAAUAAGGAUCGGCUAACUCCGUGCCAGCAGCCGAGGUCAUACGGAGGAUCCGAGCGUUAUCCGGAUUUAUUUGGUUUAAAGGGAGCGUAGAUGGGUUGUUAAGUCCGUUGUGAAAGUUUGCGGCUCAACCGUAAAAUUGCAUUUGAUACUGGCAGUCUUGAGUACAGUUGAGGUAGGCGGAAUUCGUUGUGUAGCGGUGAAAUGCUUAGAUAUCACGAAGAACUCCGAUUGCGAAGGCAGCUUACUAAACUGCCACUGACAUUGAUGCUCGAAAGUGUGGGUAUCAAACAGGAUUAGAUACCCCUGUAGUC
rnacentral:rRNA from 1 species